rnacentral:lncRNA from 1 species
AUAAGAAGAUAUGAUUUUUUUUCAUUGCCAAUACUAUUAGUCUAUAGCUUUAAUUUGAUAUAAUAGGAUCAUGUCAUUGAAACCAUUUCGUUGGUUACCGCUUGUGUUUUAACAUAAGAUAAAUGGUCAAAAGAGUGAUGUUUAUCAAAUGCAAAACUAAAACAAAAUACAAAAUUUAUGAUUUUUUAGUCGAGUGCAUAAUAGGCGAGUGACAUUCAGACCUAAAAAUAUUUUUAAUGCACCUAUCUGACACACAGCUAUAUUAUAUAUCAUUCGAAAGGAAAGCAUGUGUAGAUUCCAUUUUCCCCGGUCGUAAAAUUGAAAUAUGGUGCAGUUUUUUUUUUAAAUUGGGGUCAGAGGUCAUUCAUAAAAAAUUGAAAGAAUAACACUUUUGUUGUAUUAUUGUCUUAUUUGAAUCAGCUUGUAAUAUCGUUAAUUCAAAUUUUACUUUACACGAUACUAUGAUAACGUCUCCCUGAUUCUUAGUUGCAUAUCGUUCAUGGUAUGGGGAUAAUUGACGUCAUUUUGACGUUUUCACUCUGCUAUAGGUAAAACGGUACUUUCUACAAAAACGACGUAUACUAACAAAUAGUUUACCUUAAAUGUGUUAAUAUUUACUAUAGUUGAUGAUGAGCCAUGAAAAAUUUAAAAAAAAUAUGAUGAAAUAUUUGUAAGUUGGACGAAUAAAAGGGAGAGAAAACAACGCAAUAAAGAAAGUAAAAAUUAGACGUCUUUAUCACAAUAACAGUGACAAUAGUCUCCUGUUUGUUAACAGCCUACAAACCGUGUCAAGAUCGGAAAUCACUAUCUUACAUGUUUAAUACAAACACAAGCAAAGUUAAAGAGGAUAUAUGGAUCACAUGUUUAGUUUCUCCGUCCGUCAAUCCCCAC